rnacentral:sRNA from 1 species
GACAGGCCCGGAGCCCCUUGGUCUCUUGCUGGCGGCUGGCACAGAGACAGGCUGCCGUGGGCUCUGACCUUAAUACCGGGUCACUGUCGCUUCUAGGGCUGAGAGGACAGAGACCCCAUCGCCGUAUGCAGGGGCCUGUUUCCAGGCAGACCGCCCAGUGCCCAGCCGAGCCUUGGGUGCAGUGCGGCCCCCGCAGGGCAUGUCCAGACCCCAGAACCCACUCUCGGGUCUAGAAGAUCCAGUUGGGCAGUGUUGGUACCACCAAGAGUGGACAGGACAGAGGACCAGAGACGGCCCCACCCGGCAGGACCCAAGGACUCAGGCAGUGGCUUUUCAGGUCCUGAAUGAGGCUGUGGGGGCCCUGAUGUACCACACCAUCACACUCACCAGGGAGGACCUGGAGAAGUUCAAAGCCCUCCGCAUCAUCGUCCGGAUUGGCAGUGGUUUUGACAACAUCGACAUCAAGUCGGCCGGGGAUUUAGGCAUCGCCGUCUGCAACGUGCCUGCAGCGUCUGUGGAGGAGACGGCUGACUCGACGCUGUGCCACAUCCUGAACCUGUACCGGCGGGCCACCUGGCUGCACCAGGCGCUGCGGGAGGGUACACGAGUCCAGAGCGUCGAGCAGAUCCGCGAGGUGGCGUCCGGCGCCGCCAGGAUCCGCGGGGAGACCUUGGGCAUCAUCGGACUCGGUCGCGUGGGGCAGGCAGUGGCGCUGCGGGCCAAGGCCUUCGGCUUCAAUGUGCUCUUCUACGACCCUUACCUGUCGGACGGUGUGGAGCGGGCGCUGGGGCUGCAGCGUGUCAGCACCC